rnacentral:rRNA from 1 species
AGAGUUUGAUCCUGGCUCAGGACGAACGCUGGCGGCGCGCCUAACACAUGCAAGUCGAACGAGAGAUGAGGAGCUUGCUCUUCAGAUCGAGUGGCGAACGGGUGAGUAACGCGUGAGGAACCUGCCUCAAAGAGGGGACAACAGUUGGAAACGACUGCUAAUACCGCAUAAGCCCACGGCUCGGCAUCGAGCAGAGGGAAAAGGAGCAAUCCGCUUUGAGAUGGCCCCGCGUCCGAUUAGCUAGUUGGUGAGGUAACGGCCACCAAGGCGACGAUCGGUAGCCGGACUGAGAGGUUGAACGGCCACAUUGGGACUGAGACACGGCCCAGACCUCCUACGGGAGCA